rnacentral:lncRNA from 1 species
UAAUUCAUUUUCUUCCUUUUUAGUCUAUAUAGAUUUUUCCAUUAUUCUUUGCAUGACUUUCAUGUCUGAUAGAAGAUGUCCAUAUUAGCACCAUUUUGUCCUUUCAUUGUUUGUAACUCAUUAAGAUCCAUGUUUUGCUCACAUAUGCACAUGUUGGUUGAAUGACCACUAUGCAUUUCAAAAUUUUCUAUUAUUGUUAUUUUAAAAGAGGGAUAAGGGGUUGGGGAUUCUGUUUCGAAAAAGACUGAAAGAGAGUAUGGAAGUUACUGGUGUACACUUGCUCAGAUUAUUAUUUAUUCCUGGGCUUCACUGAAAGAACUGUGAAUGACCUAGAAGUAUAGAACAGAAGUUUUACCAAUACCUUAGGAUUAGAGGCCACAGGCAUCUGUCAUCACUCCAGGCAUUGAGUGCUCCGGACACUGAAAAAGGCAAUUAGGAUAUAAGCACACAUUUUAACCUUUUGUUUUUGAUAUGGGUGUUGCUUCUUAGUUAUCAAUUAUGUGGUAUCGAUGUCAAAACCCAUUAUGCAAUGCAUGGUUUUUUAAUGAUUUAUAAGCUUAAUUUUGAAGGGUAUGUUUAAUAUGCAAGGAUCUUUGGUGAUGUUAGCAGACAUGGAAAUUUUUUUCUACCUAGGGAUGCAUAAGGAAUAGUUAAAAUAUGCUAGCAUAACUGAAGAAAGUGGAAAGUGAGAGCUCUCUCUCUCUCUCUCUCUCUCUCUGUUUACGUUUGGCCUUUCUAGAUUUUAUAGUUCACUUGAAUGUAACCAAUCGAACCAAUAAUUAUCUACUCAAUUUCAGUCAUAUUGGCUGUAUUAGUUAAAUAACUGCUUUUGAAACUUAUUGUAGUUAUUUCAGAACAUAUUGUUUACGUCUCAAGGGAUUUUUUGUCCAGGCUUUUGGUUUGUUGUGAAGUUUGAAUCAUACUGCUGUUACCUCCUGUUGGUUGUAGUUAUGUUCUGUACUGAUGGGAAAUCCUUUUCUUGUAGGCCCUUGAGAGGAAGAAGCAGCAGUAACAGUAGCAGCAGCAGUUCUCCUCCUCGUAAGCCAUAGGUAAUGUUUACUCCUCACCUUUUCUCCCCCUCGUAAGCCAUAGGUAAUGUUUACUCCUCACCAUUUCUACGCCUCCUUUCCCACCUACCUUCUCUCUUGCUCUCCCUGACUUGAUUGUUGUGAAUGAUGUAAUAGUGAAGAUUUUAUUCUGUUUUUGAUUG